GAUGAACGCUGACAGAAUGCUUAACACAUGCAAGUCGAUUCGAUUUACCUUCGGGUAUUGAGGAUGGCGGACGGGUGAGUAACGCGUAAGGAACUUGCCUCUUGGUCUGGGACAACUGUUGGAAACGACAGCUAAUACCGGAUAUUAUGAGAUUCUCGCAUGGGAAACUUAUGAAAGCUAUAUGCGCCAAGAGAGAGCCUUGCGUUCCAUUAGCUAGUUGGUGGGGUAACGGCCCACCAAGGCGACGAUGGAUAGCCGGCCUGAGAGGGUGAACGGCCACAAGGGGACUGAGACACGGCCCUUACUCCUACGGGAGGCAGCAGUGGGGAAUAUUGGACAAUGGGCCACAAGCCUGAUCCAGCAAUUCUGUGUGCACGAUGAAGGUCUUCGGGUUGUAAAGUGCUUUCAGUUGGGAAGAAGAAAGUGACGGUACCAACAGAAGAAGCGACGGCUAAAUACGUGCCAGCAGCCGCGGUAAUACGUAUGUCGCAAGCGUUAUCCGGAUUUAUUGNGCGUAAAGCGCGUCUAGGCGGAAAAAUAAGUCUGAUGUUAAAAUGCGGGGCUCAACUCCGUAUUGCGUUGGAAACUGUUUUUCUAGAGUACUGGAGAGGUGGGCGGAACUACAAGUGUAGAGGUGAAAUUCGUANAUAUUUGUAGGAAUGCCGAUGGAGAANUCAGCUCACUGGACAGANACUGACGCUAAAGCGCGAAAGCGUGGGGAGCAA
rnacentral:rRNA from 1 species